rnacentral:rRNA from 1 species
GAUGGACGCUGGCGGCGUGCCUAAUACAUGCAAGUCGAACGCAUAGCGAAAGGUGCUUGCACCUUUCAAGUGAGUGGCGAACGGGUGAGUAACACGUGGACAACCUGCCUCAAGGCUGGGGAUAACAUUUGGAAACAGAUGCUAAUACCGAAUAAAACUUAGUGUCGCAUGACACAAAGUUAAAAGGCGCUUCGGCGUCACCUAGAGAUGGAUCCGCGGUGCAUUAGUUAGUUGGUGGGGUAAGGCCUACCAAGACAAUGAUGCAUAGCCGAGUUGAGAGACUGAUCGGCCACAUUGGGACUGAGACACGGCCCAAACUCCUACGGGAGGCUGCAGUAGGGAAUCUUCCACAAUGGGCGAAAGCCUGAUGGAGCAACGCCGCGUGUGUGAUGAAGGCUUUCGGGUCGUAAAGCACUGUUGUAUGGGAAGAACAGCUAGAAUAGGAAAUGAUUUUAGUUUGACGGUACCAUACCAGAAAGGGACGGCUAAAUACGUG